rnacentral:tRNA from 1 species
GCCGAAGUAGCUCAGCGGUAGAGCAAUCGAUUCGUAAUCGAUAGGUCCCGAGUUCGAUCCUCGGCUUCGGCACCA